UACGUAGGGUCCGAGCGUUGUCCGGAUUUAUUGGGCGUAAAGAGCUCGUAGGCGGCUCAGUAAGUCGGAUGUGAAAUCUCGGAGCUUAACUCCGAAACUGCAUUCGAUACUGCCGUGCUUGAGGACUGGAGAGGAGACUGGAAUUUACGGUGUAGCGGUGAAAUGCGUAGAUAUCGUAAGGAAGACCAGUGGCGAAGGCGGGUCUCUAGACAGUUCCUGACGCUGAGGCACGAAGGUCAGGGGAGCAAACGGG
rnacentral:rRNA from 1 species